CCGCUGGAGAAAGGCUAGGGGAAUGUGGCAUCGCUUCGGUGAUGUGUUAUAGCCCUUGGUUGUAUACAGCGGCUGGGACUGAGGAACUCAGCCUGCCCUUAACUGGGCCGGGUCUUUUGACCACGCUAACGGGCUUAGGAUGCUGGCAUAAUGGCUUUAAGCGACCCGUCUUGAANCACGGACCAAGGAGUCUAACAUGCUUGCGAGUGUUUGGGUGGAAAACCCGAGCGCGCAAUGAAAGUGAAAGUUGGGAACCCUGUCGUGGGGUGCACCGACGCCCGGACCAGACCUUCUUGUGACGGCUCCGCGGUAGAGCAGGUAUGUUGGGACCCGAAAGAUGGUGAACUAUGCCUGAAUAGGGUGAAGCCAGAGGAAACUCUGGUGGAGGCUCGUAGCGAUUCUGACGUGCAAAUCGAUCGUCAAAUUUGGGUAUAGGGGCGAAAGACUAAUCGAACCAUCU
rnacentral:rRNA from 1 species